rnacentral:lncRNA from 1 species
GGUGUAGCACGAUGGAAUCUGGUGGCUUAAACCUAGCUGUCCACAUUUCACUAUCUGAAGAGCAGAAAAUGUGUUAAUAGGAGCCUGGUGAGUGGAGGAGACUGAAGAUGGAGAGAGAGCCUGGACCUCAACAUGAGCAUCUGGAGCCAUUUGGCAGCAUUAGGCUGUGACCGCUUAGAGAACCGAAAGGUGCAGAGCUUUAAAGGAUUAUGGAGUCUGAAGACCAAAUGGGAUGAUGGAGAACAGCUAUUCAGUGGUACAAAUGUAAAUGCUCCCAGGCCCGGGCAGGCACAGCACUUUGGAAGACAGGCAGAGUUCCACCUCCAGCCUGUGAGAUGCCUGCAGGGAGCCAUCCUGAGUCCUCCGAAUUGACACAGUGUCUUUGGGGUAGGAAUUUCCCAGUGAAUGCUUACUUAAAUGAAUUCAGAAAGAGAAAACAUUUCCAUGGAAGAGGAAACAGGAAAUUCCAACAGAUCAGCAACAGUUGGAGUGCUAACCUGUCACUGGAAUGGGAAAAAAAAUGCUGUCGUUGACACAUCUUUUCCUUGUUUUUGACACAAAUUAGGUUAAAUGUAAAAUGGCAGAAACAUUCGUUUUGGGCAAAUUUCUCAUUUUAAAUGAGUUCUAUUUAGAAACAAAACAAAUGAAAUGGUGGCAAUAUCAAUUACAAGGAUGAUAAGGCUUUAUCUGAUCACAUCUUCAAGGUUUUAUGCCUUUUCCUUCGUGUCCUGUCCUUCCCUCCUCCACUCCCCACUCCUGUUUCUCUGUAUGUCAGGUUUCAACAAGGGGAAAAACAAAAACUUUGCAAGGAUAUUUCGAGGGUGAGAAAAUGUUACGAUGGACCUGCAUUUCUUUAUUAAUGGAACACCACCUGGAACACAGCUGUGACUUGAUAAACAAGUGAAACAUUCUUUGGUGUGGUGAGGGGAAAACAAAUUUCUCAAAGGACACGCACCAUGGUGUAUGAGAGGACACUGGAGCCCAGCCAGCAUCUGACAUGCUGAAUUCAAAGUGCAGGUGAAAGUAGGACAACUGAUUCACAAGCUGGGAUGCCUGUGUUGUUGUUUGCCAGUGUGCGUGUGUGUGUUUUCCUGGCACCCUUCAUUCAUUCCCCAGCACAGUUGACAUCAGGUUGGAAGCAGUGAGUUCUGAGGGAGACUGCUAGAGGACCCAACUUGGAGAAUCAACGAUCUGCGAUGAAGAUAAUGAAGAUAAAGACAAUGUCAAUGUCAGCGUCCAAAAUCAUAAGGACCCUUUA